CCUACGGGAGGCUGCAGUGGGGAAUUUUGGACAAUGGGCGCAAGCCUGAUCCAGCUAUUCCGCGUGUGGGAUGACGGCCCUCUGGUUGUAAACCACUUUAGUUGAGGACGAAAAGUAGCUAACGUAUAAAUAUUUCUGUUGACGGUACUCUAAGAAUAAGCACCGGCCAAAUACGUGCGAGCAGCUGCGGUAAUACGUAGGGUGCGUGCGUUAAUCGGAUUUACUGGGCGUAAAGGGUGUGCAGGCGGCUGGGUAAGAGAGAUGUGAAAGCGCCGGGCUUAACCUGGGAACCGCAUAUGUGACUGCUUGGCUAGAGUGCGUCAGAGGGAGGUGGAAUUCCACGUGUAGCAGUGAAAUGCGUAGAUAUGUGGAAGAACACCGAUGGUGAAGGCAGCCUGCUGGGACGCAACUGACGCUCAUACACGAAAGCGUGGGGAGCAAACAGGAUUAGAUACCCGAGUAGUC
rnacentral:rRNA from 1 species